GGAAGUGCGCCGGAGCUGGAGAGCCGGGGCAGACUGUAAAUCUGCUGCUUUAUUGCUGAGUAGGUUCGAAUCCUACCACUUCCA
rnacentral:tRNA from 1 species